rnacentral:ncRNA from 2 species
UGAUGGAACUCUGGAGAGCCCCUGUAACAGAUACAGGGCGCCGAAGGGGCAAACCGGUUGUCAGCCGGUGAAACUCUCAGGCAAAAGGACAGAGCAGGCAUU